CGAGCGAGCUUGCCUAGAUGAUUUUAGUGCUUGCACUAAAUGAAACUAGAUACCAGCGAGCGGCGGACGGGUGAGUAACACGUGGGUAACCUGCCCAAGAGACUGGGAUAACACCUGGAAACAGAUGCUAAUACCGGAUAACAACACUAGACGCAUGUCUAGAGUUUGAAAGAUGGUUCUGCUAUCACUCUUGGAUGGACCUGCGGUGCAUUAGCUAGUUGGUAAGGUAACGGCUUACCAAGGCAAUGAUGCAUAGCCGAGUUGAGAGACUGAUCGGCCACAUUGGGACUGAGACACGGCCCAAACUCCUACGGGAGGCAGCAGUAGGGAAUCUUCCACAAUGGACGAAAGUCUGAUGGAGCAACGCCGCGUGAGUGAAGAAGGGUUUCGGCUCGUAAAGCUCUGUUGGUAGUGAAGAAAGAUAGAGGUAGUAACUGGCCUUUAUUUGACGGUAAUUACUUAGAAAGUCACGGCUAACUACGUGCCAGCAGCCGCGGUAAUACGUAGGUGGCAAGCGUUGUCCGGAUUUAUUGGGCGUAAAGCGAGUGCAGGCGGUUCAAUAAGUCUGAUGUGAAAGCCUUCGGCUCAACCGGAGAAUUGCAUCAGAAACUGUUGAACUUGAGUGCAGAAGAGGAGAGUGGAACUCCAUGUGUAGCGGUGGAAUGCGUAGAUAUAUGGAAGAACACCAGUGGCGAAGGCGGCUCUCUGGUCUGCAACUGACGCUGAGGCUCGAAAGCAUGG
rnacentral:rRNA from 1 species